AAAAAUGUAAAAAAUAAAAAUUAGAAUAGUAGUAGAUAUGUUCUUAAAACUUAAAAAAUUUGGUAGUAUUUUUUCUAAUCAGAGGAACUUGUUUUAUAAUUGAUAAUCCUCAUUAAAUCUUACUUAAUUUAUUAUAAUUUGUAUACCGUCGUCAUCAGAAUAUCUAAAAAAAGAAAAAAUUUUCUAAAAUUAAUAAUAUAAAUAAUGUCAGAUCAAGGUGCAGUUUAUAAUUAAGAAAAAAUUAGUUACAAUAAAAUAAUUUAUAUUGGAAUUAUAAAUGAAACUUUAUAUUGAAAUUGGAUUUGAUAGUAAAUUUAUAUAAUAAAUUAGGUUGAUUUAGAUCAAAAAUAUGC
rnacentral:rRNA from 1 species